rnacentral:rRNA from 1 species
GACGAACGCUGGCGGCGUGCUUAACACAUGCAAGUCGAACGGUAAGGCCCUUCGGGGUACACGAGUGGCGAACGGGUGAGUAACACGUGGGUGAUCUGCCCUGCACUUCGGGAUAAGCCUGGGAAACUGGGUCUAAUACCGGAUAGGACCACUGCCUGCAUGGGUGGUGGUGGAAAGCUUUUGCGGAGUGGGGUGGGCCCGCGGCCUAUCAGCUUGUUGGUGGGGUGAUGGCCUACCAAGGCGACGACGGGUAGCCGGCCUGCGAGGGUGACCGGCCACGCUGGGAGUGGGUGACGUCCCAGACUCGUACGUGAGGCAGCAGUGGGGAAUAUUGCACAAUGUGCGCAAGCCUGAUGCAGCGACGCGGCGUGGGGGAUGACGGCCUUCGGGUUGUAAACCUCUUUCAGCACCGACGAAGCGCAAGUGACGGUAGGUGCAGAAGAAGGACCGGCCAGCUACGUGCCAGCAGCCGCCGUAAUAC